AAAAAAAGAAGACAAGUUCAGUUCAGGGUUCUAUAUUAGCUUUUAGCCAGGUAUUUUUUCAUAAAUUUUAUAUCUUCAUAGUAUUUUAAUUAUGCAAUUUUUCUAUAGCAUGAAUCUUGUACCUUUAUAAAUUGUUAGCAACUGUAUGCUGUGUUUCUAUUGCAUGUGAGUUGAUUUUAGUUUUUUGUUGAUGUUUUUUAUUUUUUAUUUUUAUUCAUUCAUAUAGUACUGUUCGGUGUCUAGUAAUAUUAUUAUGGGAGACUCUCAACCACAAGAUUCCAAAAAAAGGGCAGUGGAUGAAGCAUGGACACAGGAACAAAGUGAUGUCUUGUUACGAAUUCUGGUUGAAUCUGCAAUUAGGGGAUGGCGCGAUAAUAGUG
rnacentral:lncRNA from 1 species